rnacentral:rRNA from 1 species
GAUGAACGCUGGCGGCGUGCCUAAUACAUGCAAGUCGAGCGAACAGAUGAGGAGCUUGCUCCUCUGACGUUAGCGGCGGACGGGUGAGUAACACGUGGAUAACCUACCUAUAAGACUGGGAUAACUUCGGGAAACCGGAGCUAAUACCGGAUAAUAUAUUGAACCGCAUGGUUCAAUAGUGAAAGACGGUUUUGCUGUCACUUAUAGAUGGAUCCGCGCCGCAUUAGCUAGUUGGUAAGGUAACGGCUUACCAAGGCAACGAUUCUUAGCCGACCUGAGGGGGUGUUUGGCCACACUGGAACUGAGCCACGUUCCAGACUCCUACGGGAGGCAGCAGUAGGGAAUCUUCCGCCAUGGGCGAAAGCCUGACGGAGCAACGCCGCGUGAGUGAUGAAGGUCUUCGGAUCGUAAAACUCUGUUAUUAGGGAAGAACAAAUGUGUAAGUAACUAUGCACGUCUUGACGGUACCUAAUCAGAAAGCCACGGCUAACUACGUG